rnacentral:rRNA from 1 species
GAUGAACGCUGGCGGCGUGCCUAAUACAUGCAAGUCGAGCGAAGCGGGGACGGGUGAGUAACACGUGGAUAACCUCCUAUAAGACUGGGAUAACUUCGGGAAACCGGAGCUAAACCGGAUACUUAUACAUGGAUCUGCGCUGCAUUAGCUAGUUGGUAAGGUAACGGCUUACCAAGGCAACGAUGCAUAGCCGGCCUGAGAGGGUGAUCGGCAACACUGGAACUGAGACACGGUCCAGACUCCUACGGGAGGAAGAAGUAGGGAAUCUUCCGCAAUGGGCGAAAGCCUGACGGAGCAACGCCGCGUGAGGGAUGAGGGUCUUAGGAUCGUAAGACUCUGUUAUUAGGGAAGCGGUACCUAAUCAGAAAGCCACGGCUAACUACGUGCCAGCAGCCGCGGUAAUUC